rnacentral:rRNA from 1 species
CCUACGGGAGGCAGCAGUGAGGAAUAUUGGUCAAUGGGCGCGAGCCUGAACCAGCCAAGUCGCGUGAGGGAAGACGGUCCUAUGGAUGGUAAACCUCUUUUGUCGGGGCGCAAAAGACGCCACGCGUGGCGUUCCGAGAGUACCCGAAGAAAAAGCAUCGGCUAACUCCGUGCCAGCAGCCGCGGUAAUACGGAGGAUGCGAGCGUUCUCCGGAGGUAUUCGGUUUAAAGGGAGCGCAGGCAGAAGAUCACGUCAGCGGGAAAAUUGAGAGGCUCAACCACUUAGAGCCGUUGAAACUGGUUUUCUUGAGUGAGCGAGAAGUAUGCGGAAUGCGGGGUGUAGCGGUGAAAUGCAUAGAUAUCACGCAGAACUCCGAUUGCGAAGGCAGCAUACCGGCGCUCAACUGACGCUCAUGCACGAAAGUGUGGGUAUCGAACAGGAUUAGAUACCCCUGUAGUC